CACCGACACAACGGCAACAAAAUGAGGUCUGAUUCUACACAUGUUUAAGGUCAUGAUAUGAUACUUCUCAAGAAAACAAACGAGAGACAGAAGAGAUCUCGAAGGUCUGUCACACGUUAAAAUGAUAAUAUUUCAUAUUGUAUUGUGUUGUCUUAAUUGAUAGUUAUUUACGAAUGAAGACGAGUGGGUGCCGAGACAAAAAUCGCGUCGAACAGCAGUUCAAAAGCCCGUCACUGAUGCCUUCCUCCCUUACAUUUGGGCUCCCUUCGAAGACGCAAGCCCCCGUAUUCCUCUCUUUUGUGAUGUGGGGGUCCUGUUUUGUCAGAGCUGGGGGGGAGGGGCCUCAAACACCAACUCCUUUGUGGGCGCUCUCAUUCCGCAUGAGUCGAGUGGCUCGUCGUGGCGCCCGUCGCUUGACACGUUGAAAAGGUUGCAGCUCGUCUGAAGAGCGGCCCCGUCCCAUUAACAAUUCAUGGAAAGUGUUUAAGGCGUCUGACCUAUAUUCGGCAUUAAAAAAAAAAGUGGCGCUGAGGCUGGGGGAGGAAAAUCCCUGGAAAUGGGGACACAAAGUUAAUAACAAUAAAGGGUUUAAAUAACCAUUGAAAACGGUAUAGGUUUUGAUCCUGUCUUUUUCCCUGCUUUCUUAGAGACGCGUCUUACGGUCCACAGCGCCGUCGCUCUCUGCCUGUCUGCGGCGUGUGACGUGGCGGCUGCGCUCAAACCGGGUCUACGUGUUUCCGUCAAAGACCAAGAGUCCUGGAACUGAAAGGCUGUGACCCGGACCGACCGCAGCGACUCCCGUCUCUGAGCUCCAGGCUGCAUGCUGACGGCACCCAGAUCGCACCGAGAUGGGUUAAAACAUAAUGACCCACGAUGUCACCCAACGGAACCAUACGCGCGUUUCCCAGAAGCCCACGGUGCUCUGCGGUAUCGGCGCUCCUUGACAAUAAGCGACCUUUCUGAGUUGUGCCGACGGAUGGACGGAGGAGGGCGCCGGCGAGGGCGCUGGGCCGCACCUGGGCCAGCAGACAGUCCGGGAGGCGCCCGCUGCCUUCGGAAACCCGACGAGCCGGCGAUCGGCGACGGGAGAUGCGGCGAACGAUUCGCUCCGGGGUCUAAUCCCGGAACAUCGCCGAGAUGCGUCGGCUGAGAAGCCAAGUGUUUAGUCAGCGCUCUGCUCUCUUGGCUCCUGGACGAGCGAGACGGACCUGAUGGAGAUGUGUCUCAGCAGAGCGGAAAUCCACCGAGGAAUGAUUCGCUGGAACAGUUAGCAGGCGCCGGCUUGUUUGUCACAUUAAGAGCUUUAAUGCCGCAUAAGCGACGGAAAACCCGAAAACACAAAAAUCUGCUCUCUGUUGGUGGAUGGAUAGAAUGCCAGGCCGGAAUUCCUGAGAAAUCUGUCUUCGCGGGAUCUCCUGAGCCUUGCGGCUCUCUUUUCGUUGAUGUAUAUCCUCUUUCCUCUGAAUGCUUCUGCUGAGGCGAGAAGGGCAGACCGUAACCACCCCUGGAACUGGAGAGCUGAGCUCCAUGCCGAUGAACCCCCCAUCUCGGUCCUCAUGGCUGAGAAAGCAGAUCACAAUAAAAUUACGCAAACUGGGUUAUUCCUAGAGCAGAACAGGGGAUCAUAUGUGUAUACGGCUUCCUGCACGUUCUCUUUCUGCUCAUCAUUUCAGUGUAAAUCUCUUCACCUAAAUAUCUCAUUUCAGUUCUGAGCCCCUGAUCCACGGGCUCCCGUCGACGAGCCCAACUCUUUCAAGCUCGGACCCUCCCCACGGAAGGGCCACGGCGCCUCGCCGCCGGUGUUCCCCCGGGGUGGGCGAUGCCUUGACGUUUUCAUGCUCCUUGCGCAAUUUGCACUCUGUUUACUCCGCUGUCCGCCUCCAUCAGCGUGGGCACAUCGGAGUGACAUCGACAAGAGACCCGCAAUCUUUUCAUGUCAAAGCGGCCCACAUUUUCCACUUGACUACAGAAAGGCUCUCUGCGAGUUCACACGUGGCCCUCCCUCCCCACGCCCUGCCUGCCCCCAAGAGGGGCAAAAUGGACCGGGCCUGUAUGAGUGUGCGAGCCCUGGGACUCUGGGACGGGGCCAAGAAAGCGAGCGAUUUCAGCACUCGGACUCGGACAGGGAAGGGAAUAAGAACAAUGCGGCAGGCUGGGGAUGCAGCGCUUUAGAUGCCGAAUACGGAUGGAG